rnacentral:lncRNA from 1 species
GCCGUCCUUGGUGCAUCUUUCCUUGAGACGGGGACACCUUUGGAUCUCUAGCUUAUGUAAUUUGGUUAGGCAUUGCAUAGCUUCGACCGUAGGCAGAUACAUCAGAUUCUCACACCAGGAAAUUUCCAACUCUGUAAGAGAUGUAAGGUUGCCCAACCAUUCUGGAAGAGCCUCCACACCAUCGAAAGCAGAAAUGGACAAAGAUGUUAGAGAAGUAGAGUGUUGAAUUGGCCGAGGCAGAGACUUGAGCUUAGGCCACCUGUACAAUGCUAAUUCUUCCAGUUUCGAUGGGACCUGAAAAUCUGGGAAAGAAUCGAGCUCUUUGCAGAAUAAAUCGAGCUCCUUCCAGUUUUGGUGUGAUACAAGUCAGAGAGACAAUCCGAAGUAUUGGACAAAAGUGAUUAAGUCGAGGAAAUAUAGAUACAAACUAGUAUUUAGCGUACACUGAUUCACUGCACAACAGAUCCCACACCCAUUUUUAACCCACCAAGUUAUGAACAUGGUAUGAAUGAGAGAGUUUGUAGCUACCUAGCAUGGUGCUGUCAUGGAACCUGCAUUUGUGGAAUCUGAACAUCUGGAAAUCACUCUAGGUGAACUAUGGAAUGGUGAAAUCGUAACACAAGUUUCUUCAUUCAAGCCAGUUUCUUCAUUUGAGCCUUGAGUUCUUUCUGGAUGCCUGGACACCUUCAUUUCCAAACAUUGUGUUAGUUGACAUGACACAGCACAAAACCCAUGCUGCAGACCAAAAAAAGUAUUCAUAAACCACUCACUGUUCAUACAUUUGUAUUCAUAACAUGAUAAAAAAAAUCUAAUAGAACAAGGAAAUUUGAAAAUACUAUAGGUCAAGAUAACCCACUGUGCCCAUGACUGAUGUCACCACACGAGUCCCAUUAUCACUGGAAAAAACCAUGGACAUACUGAAAUCUGCUAUUUUCGCGUCCAAGUUUUCAUUGCUCUGGGAUUGCUCUCCUGUCUAACUGCAAUUCUCUUACUGGAUUCCCUUCUUAAGUGAGCUGAAAUACUAAACCAAUUUAUCUGUGAUUAACGUAUUCUAGAUAACUCGACAUGAUUUUAUUCAAGGAUGAAAGAUUGAAGAAAAAAGUUACAUAUUGACUAAACAGAUUACCUUCCACAAAAUUGGUCUCAUAAAACUGUGUUAGUUGAGAGAACCUGCACAGAGUGAGAAGAAACACAGCCUUCUACAAAAGUGUAUCUGCACCAUAACAACCAUGCACAACAAGCCUUAGAACAUAUUCGAAUGCACGUUGAAUGUCGUAAGUUAUACAGAAUGGCCACAGACUUGCAAACACUUGCAAUUUUACUUCUAAUUAGUAAUUACUAAAAGCUUAAUUUCCACAAAAGCCUAAAGUCCUACAACAACAACAACAACAACAAAGCCUUUUCCCACUAAGUGGGGUCGGCUAUAUGAAUCCUAGAACGCCAUUGCGCUCGGUUUUGUGUCAUGUCCUCCGUUAGAUCCAAGUACUCCAAGUCUUUUCUUAGAGUCUCUUCCAAAGUUUUCCUAGGUCUUCCUCUACCCCUUCGGCCCUGAACCUCUGUCCCGUAGUCACAUCUUCGAACUGGAGCGUCAGUCGGCCUUCUUUGCACAUGUCCAAAUCACCGGAGCCGAUUUUCUCUCAUCUUUCCUACAAUUCCGGCUACUCCUACUUUACCUCGGAUAUCCUCAUUCCCAAUCUUAUCCUUUCUCGUGUGCCCAUACAUCCCACGAAGCAUCCUCAUCUCCGCUACACCCAUUUUGUGUACGUGUUGAUGCUUCACCGCCCAACAUUCUGUGCCAUACAACAUCACUGGCCUUAUUGCCGUCCUAUAAAAUUUUCCCUUGAGCUUCAGUGGCCUACGACGGUCACACAACACGCCGGAUGCAUUCUUACACUUCAUCCAUCCAGCUCGUAUUCUAUGGUUGAGAUCUCCAUCUAAUUCUCCGUUCUCUUGCAAGAUAGAUCCUAGGUAGCGAAAACGGUCGCUUUUUGUGAUCUUCGCUAGAUUGCUCCGGUCAUUAGUGUGGAUAAGUAUAUAAAUGGAUAGAGAUAGGAAAGCAAACACAAGAUGUACGGGGUUCACCCAGAUUGGCUACGUCCACGGAAUAGAAGAGUUCUCAUUAAUUGUGAAGGGUUUACACAAGUACAUAGGUUCAAGCUCUCCUUUAGUGAGUACAAGUGAAUGAUUUAGUACAAAUGACAUUAGGAAAUAUUGUGGGAGAAUGAUCUCGUAAUCACGAAACUUCUAAGUAUCGGAGUGUGGUGUCGUCUUGACUUGCCUUAUCUGUCUCAUAGGUAGAUGUGGCAUCUUCUCUGGAAGUACUCUUCCUCUAUCCAAGGGUGGUAUCUUUAACUGGUGGAGAUGCACAAGGUAAUGUAUCAAUUUCACUUGAAGCUUACUUGUAGUUUCAGGCUUGGUCAAGCGCGAUACAAACCAUGUAGUACGAGUCCCCCAAGUCGCCGAGCUAGGGGGUCUGCUGAAAGAGGUGACAGACAAGGUAAGCAAUCAGAGCUCCGACUGAUUGUUCACCUUCUCCCCAUCUUGCAGCAGCAUGAAGGAUAAAGAGAAGAAAAAUGAGAAGAGAUGAUAUGAGAUACUUUUGCUUUUGAAGAAGUAACUUUCCACAGGCUUAUUCUUGAAUUGAGCUGGAGGGUUUUCUGGUUUCCUCCAGAGUAUAAGGCCGACUGAAGAAUUUGAGGGUCAAAACAAGUCCAUCAAAUCUAGAGUACAUUCCACCCUGCUGAUAUGGGAUGCUUUUGCUUUUGACAGAGUAAUGGAUGUAUCGGCACGUGUGCUGUUACGCUUGUCUCCACAUGCUUCCUUGUAUCCUUCGCACUUGCCCUAUCUGUUCCUCAAGUAGAUGCGGAAUCUUCCCUGGAAACAUAAGAUGUUGAAGAUGAGUACUCGAGAGCAAUGCCAGGUAAGUAAUCAGGUAAGGGGUUCCAGGCAGUCAGUUCCUGGCUGGAAGCUUGAUUCCAAGUGCUGACUGAUUGCUCUCUUUCUCCUUGUCUUGCAGGUAAAAACAAGGCCAAAGGAAAAGACAGGGAAAAAGCAUGAUAUGGGAUACUCUUGCUUUUAACCCUGAUGAUAUGAGAUAUUCUUGCUCUAGUAUAGCUUGUUUGCAUAGGUAUUAUCGGGGGGAAGGAAAGCUGAAUAUUUCGAAAGGCUUCGUUGGGAGUGCCCUCUCAGAUAUGAUGAAGGGUUGAGCAUUUUUGCAGGUCUGCCUGUCUGUUGGGGAUGGAGGUCGACAUAUAUAGGAGUCUCCCUAAGAAGUAGUAAUGUUAUUCCUUUACCCUGCUUGGUCAUAGCACGGUAGUGGGAGCGGCCAGUUUCACAUGUUUUAACUCUGUCAGAGCACUUUGAGAAAGUGGUCUGUGGUAUCUGGCUCUCGAGAUUCGGAGAACGAUGCCUCUUCGAUUUUUGAGAAAGCAAUCAUGCUAGGGGUCUGGCUCUCGAGAUUCGGAGAGCGGUGUCUCUUCGAUUUUUGAGAAAGUAAUCAUGUUGGGAGUUUGGCUCUCGAGAUUCGGAGGGCGGCGCCUCUUCGAUUUUGGAGCAAGCAAUCUUGUUGGGAGUGUUGUCUCGAAUGUGAGUAAAGGUUGGGCAUGUUUGUUAGUCUACCUUGCCACGAAGCACAAAGGUUGACACACAGGGAUUUUCCAAUUAUCCAGCAAUGGUACUGUUCCUUUACCCUCUCUUCGAUUUUGAGAAAGUAGUCAUGUUGGGAGUCUGGCUCUCGAGAUUCGGAGGACGGUGUCUCUUCGAUUUUGGAGCAAGCAAUCUUGUUGGGAGUGUUUUCUCGAAUGUGAGUAAAGGUUGGGCAUGUUUGCUAGUCUACCUUGCCACGAAGCACAUAGGUUGACAAACAGGGACUUUCCAAUUAUCCAGCAGUGGUACUGUUCCUUUAUCCUUGUGGGUAAUAAUAUGGUAAUAAUAUGGUAGCUAGACCUUCAAAAUUUAUGUGUCUAAACUUUGUUAGUGCUACUUCUUUGCUAUUCUUUUACCUUUCUUGGUCAGAGCGAUGUAGUGGGAGCUGCAAGCUUCACGUGCUCAACUUUGGCAGAGAACUUUGGCAAAGUUAUCUGUGGUACCCAUGAGCUAUUGUUGCGUGUGGGAAGUGGGUGAUUGAACAGUAAGAUUCAUGUGCUUUCUACUUCACCAGAAGUCUUCGACAGAAUGCCCAUAAUUUCUGCAAAGCUGAGUGUGCGUGUGACAGGUGCUGACAAGGCUAGAAAAGUAGGUGCCUCUUCGAUUUCUGAGAUCGGCCCUCGUGGUCUCUAAGCAGCCCAGCUUUUGAGAAAGCGAGCGCCUCUUCGAUUGAUUCGGAGAACGAUGCCUCAUCGAUUUUUGAGAAAGCAAUCAUGCUGGGGGUCUGGCUCUCGAAGAUUCGGGGAGCAGUGUCUCUUCGAUUUUUGAGAAAGUAAUCAUGUUGGGAGUCUGGCUCUCGAGAUUCGGAGGGCGGUGCCUCUUCGAUUUUGGAGCAAGCAAUCUUGUUGAGAGUGUUUUCUCGAAUGUGAGUAAAGGUUGGGCAUGUUUGCUAGUCUACCUUGCCACGAAGCACAGAGGUUGACACACAGGGACUUUCCAAUUAUCCAGCAGUGGUACUAUUCUUUUACCCUCUCUUCGAUUUUUAAGAAAGUAGUCAUGUUGGGAGUCUGGCUCUCGAGAUUCGGAGGACGGUGCCUCUUCGAUUUUGGAGCAAGCAAUCUUAUUGGGAGUGUUUUCUCGAAUGUGAGUAAAGGUUGGGCAUGUUUGCUAGUCUACUUUGCCACGAAGCACAGAGGUUGACACACAGGGACUUUCCAAUUAUCCAGCAGUGGUACUAUUCCUUGACCCUUGUGGGUAAUAAUAUGGUAGCUAGACCUUCAAAAUUUAUGGGUCUAAACUUUGUUAGUGCUGUUUCUUUGCUAUUCUUUUGCCUUUCUUGGUCAGAGCGAUGUAGUGGGAGCUGCAAGCUUCACGUGCUCUACUUUGGCAGAGAACUUUGGCAAAGUUAUCUGUGGUACCCAUGAGCUAUUGUUGCGUGUGGGAAGUGGGUGAUUGAACAGUAAGAUUCAUGUGCUUUCUACUUCACCAGAAGUCUUCGACAGAAUGCCCAUAAUUUCUGCAAAGCUGAGUGUGCGUGUGACAGGUGCUGACAAGGCUAGAAAAGUAGGUGCCUCUUCGAUUUCUGAGAUCGGCCCUCAUGGUCUCUAAGCAGCCCAGCUUUUGAGAAAGCGAGCGCCUCUUCGAUUGAUUCGGAGAACGAUGCCUCAUCGAUUUUUGAGAAAGCAAUCAUGCUAGGGGUCUGGCUCUCGAAGAUUCGGGGAGCAGUGUCUCUUCGAUUUUUGAGAAAGUAAUCAUGUUGGGAGUCUGGCUCUCGAGAUUCGGAGGGCGGUGCCUCUUCGAUUUUGGAGCAAGCAAUCUUGUUGAGAGUGUUUUCUCGAAUGUGAGUAAAGGUUGGGCAUGUUUGCUAGUCUACCUUGCCACGAAGCACAGAGGUUGACACACAGGGACUUUCCAAUUAUCCAGCAAUGGUACUGUUCCUUUACCCUCUCUUCGAUUUUUAAGAAAGUAGUCAUGUUGGGAGUCUGGCUCUCGAGAUUCGGAGGACGGUGCCUCUUCGAUUUUGGAGCAAGCAAUUUUAUUGGGAGUGUUUUCUCGAAUGUGAGUAAAGGUUGGGCAUGUUUGCUAGUCUACCUUGCCACGAAGCACAAAGGUUGACACACAGGGACUUUCCAAUUAUCCAGCAGUGGUACUAUUCCUUUACCCUUGUGGGUAAUAAUAUGGUAGCUAGACCUUCAAAAUUUAUGGGUCUAAACUUUGUUAGUGCUGUUUCUUUGCUAUUCUUUUACCCUUCUUGGUCAGAGCGAUGUAGUGGGAGCUGCAAGCUUCACGUGCUCAACUUUGGCAGAGAACUUUGGCAAAGUUAUCUGUGGUACCCAUGAGCUAUUGUUGCGUGUGGGAAGUGGGUGAUUGAACAGUAAGAUUCAUGUGUUUUCUACUUCCCCAGAAGUCUUCGACAGAAUGCCCAUAAUUUCCGCAAAGCUGAGUGUGCGUGUGAUAGGUGCUGACAAGGUUGGAAAAGUAGGUGCCUCUUCGAUUUCUGAGAUCGGCCCUCGUGGUCUCUGGGGAGCCCAGCUUUUGAGAAAGCGAGCGCCUCUUCGAUUUCUGAGAUCAGCCUUCGAGGUCUUUGAGCAGCCCAACUUUUGAGAAAGCAAACGCUUAUUCGAUUUCUGAGAUCAACCCUCGUGAUCUCUAAGCAGCCCAGCUUUUGAGAAAGCAAACGCCUCUUCGAUUUCUGAGCAGGCGCCUCUUCGAUUUCUGAAGCUCCGUCGAGUGCAGAUUUUUAUAGGGGCUGGCAUUAAGUUCCAAAGCACACUUGAAUCUCCACCAGUAGAAGCUUCAUUCUUGCACUUCUAAGAUCUUGAUUUGUCCGACCUCUUCUCUCUUCAACACCUUUGAAAAUGUCUGGCCCCUCCGACCGUCAUUUUGACUUGAACCUUGUUCAAGAGGCAGCCCCGCCUUCUCCAGACAACAUAUGGCGCCCAUCCUUCGUCUCCCCUACUGGUCCUCUUACCGUUGGGGAUUCCGUGAUGAAGAAUGAUGACCGCUGCGGUGGUGGCCAGGAACCUUCUCACUCCCAAAGAUAACAGACUACUUUCCAAACGGUCUGAUGAGUUAGCUGUUAAGGAUUCGCUGGCUCUCAGUGUUCAGUGUGCAGGUUAUGUGUCUAAUAUGGCCCAACGCCUAUUUGCUCGAACCCGCCAAGUUGAAUCAUUGGCGGCUGAAGUGAUGAGUCUCAAACAGGAGAUUAGAGGGCUCAAGCAUGAGAAUAAACAGUUGCACCGGCUCGCACAUGACUAUGCUACAAACAUGAAGAGGAAGCUUGACCAGAUGAAGGAAACUGAUGGUCAGGUUUUACUUGAUCAUCAGAGAUUUGUGGGUUUGUUCCAAAGGCAUUUAUUGCCUUCGUCUUCUGGGGCUGUACCGCGUAAUGAAGCUCCAAAUGAUCAACCUCUGAUGCCUCCUCCUUCUAGGGUUCUGUCCAGUACUGAGGCUCCAAAUGAUCCCCAUCCGGUGCCUGCUCUUUCUGGGGCUCUACCGACUGCUGAGACUUCUCCUAAGCAACCUUUGUGAAAGCUCCCUCUUGUGUGUUUAUUUUGACUCAUGUAUAUGUACAUAUUUAUAGUUUAUCGGAGAUAUCAAUAAAUAAGCUUUCCUUCAUUUCAACGUAUUGUGUUAAAUACACCAAAGCCUUCUUCGCUAAGUUCUUUGAAUUUUCUUUUGUUGAAGCUUGUAUGUUGAAGCUUUCUGAGUGGAGCAUGUAGGUUGGGGUAGUGUUCCCUUAAUUUUCCGAGUGAGGAAAACUUCUCGGUUGGAGACUUGGAAAAUCCAAGUCACUGAGUGGGAUCGGCUAUAUGAAUCUUAGAACGCCAUUGUGUUGGAUCCUGUGUCAUGUCCUUCGUUAGAUCCAAGUACUCUAAGUCUUUUCUUAGAGUCUCUUCCAAAGUUUUCCUAGGUCUUCCUCUACCCCUUCGGCCCUGAACCUCUGUCCCAUAGUCGCAUCUUCUAAUCGGAGCAUCAGUAGGCCUUCUGUGCACAUGUCCAAACCACCGUAACCGAUUUUCUCUCAUCUUUCCUUCAAUUUCGGCUACUCCUACUUUACCCCGGAUAUCCUCAUUCCUAAUCUUAUCCUUUCUCGUGUGCCCACACAUCCAACGAAGCAUCCUCAUCUCCGCUACACCCAUUUUGUGUACGUGUUGAUGUUUCACCGCCCAACAUUCUGUGCCAUACAGCAUCGCCGGCCUUAUUGUCGUCCUAUAAAAUUUUCCCUUGAGCUUCAGUGGCAUACGGCGGUCACAUAACACGCCGGAUGCACUCUUCCACUUCAUCCAUCCAGCUUGUAUUCUAUGGUUGAGAUCUCCAUCUAAUUCUCUGUUCUUUUGCAAGAUAGAUCCUAGGUAACGAAAACGGUCGCUCUUUGGUAUUUCUUGAUCUCCGAUCCUCACCCCUAACUCGUUUUGGCCUCCAUUUGCACUGAACUUGCACUCCAUAUAUUCUGUCUUUGAUCGGCUUAGGCGAAGACCUUUAGAUUCCAACACUUCUCUCCAAAGGUUAAGCUUUGCAUUUACCCCUUCCUGAGUUUCAUCUAUCAACACUAUAUCGUCUGCGAACAGCAUACACCAAGGAAUAUCAUCUUGAAUAUGUCCUGUUAACUCAUCCAUUACCAACGCAAAAAGGUAAGGACUUAAGGAUGAGCCUUGAUGUAAUCCUACAGUUAUGGGAAAGCUUUCGGUUUGUCCUUCAUGAGUUCUUACGGCAGUCUUUGCUCCUUCAUACAUAUCCUUUAUAGCUUGGAUAUAUGCUACUCGUACUCCUUUCUUCUCUAAAAUCCUCCAAAUAAUGUCUCUUGGGACCCUAUCAUACGCUUUUUCCAAAUCUAUAAAGACCAUGUGUAAAUCCUUUUUCCCAUCUCUAUAUCUUUCCAUCAAUCUUCGUAAGAGAUAGAUUGCCUCCAUGGUUGAGCGCCCUGGCAUGAACCCGAAUUGGUUGUCCGAAAUCCGUGUCUCUUGCCUCAAUCUAUGCUCAAUGACUCUCUCCCAGAGCUUCAUUGUAUGACUCAUUAGCUUAAUACCCUUAUAGUUCAUGCAAUUUUGUACGUCGCCCUUAUUCUUGUAGAUAGGCACCAAAGUGCUCGUUCGCCACUCAUUUGACAUCUUCUUCGUUUUCAAAAUCCUAUUGAAAAGGUCAGUGAGCCAUGUUAUACCUGUCUCUCCCAAAAGUUUCCACACUUCGAUUGGUAUAUCGUCUGGGCCUAUUGUUUUUUUAUGCUUCAUCUUCUUCAAAGCUACAACCACUUCUUCCUUCCGGAUUCGACGAUAAAAAGAGUAGUUUCUACACUCUUCUGAGUUACUCAACUCCCCUAAAGAAGCACUCAUUUCAUGUCCUUCAUUGAAGAGAUUAUGAAAAUAACCUCUCCAUCUGUCUUUAACCGCGUUCUCUGUAGCAAGAACCUUUCCAUCCUCAUCCUUGAUGCACCUCACUUGGUUUAGGUCCCUUGUCUUCUUUUCCCUUGCUCUAGAUAGUUUAUAGAUAUCCAACUCUCCUUCUUUGGUAUCUAGUCGUUUAUACAUAUCGUCGUAAGCCGCUAACUUAGCUUCUCUGACAGCUUUCUUCGCCUCUUGCUUCGCUUUUCUAUACCUUUCACCAUUUUCAUCGGUCAUCUCCUUGUAUAAGGCUUUACAACAUUCCUUCUUAGCCUUCACCUUUGUUUGUACCUCCUCAUUCCACCACCAAGAUUCCUUUUGGUGUGGGGCAAAGCCCUUGGACUCUCCUAAUACCUCUUUUGCUACUUUUCGGAUACAACUAGCCAUGGAAUCCCACAUUUGGCUAGCUUCCCCCUCUCUAUCCCACACACAUUGGGUGAUUACCUUCUCUUUGAAAAAUGGCUUGUUUUUCUUCUUUUAGAUUCCACCAUCUAGUCCUUGGGCACUUCCAAGUCUUGUUCUUUUGUCUUACUCUUUUGAUAUGUACAUCCAUCACCAACAAGCGAUGUUGAUUAGCCACGCUCUCUCCUGGUAUAACUUUGCAAUCCUUACAAGUUAUACGAUCCCCUUUCCUCAUUAGAAGAAAAUCUAUUUGUGUUUUUGACGACCCACUCUUGUAGGUGAUCACAUGUUCUUCUCUCUUCUUAAAGAAGGUGUUGGCUAAGAAGAGAUCAUAUGCCAUUGCAAAAUCCAAGAUAGCUUCCCCAUCCUCGUUUCUCUCCCCAAAACCAUGGCCACCAUGAAAACCUCCAUAGUUGCCUGUCUCCCUGCCCACGUGUCCAUUUAAAUCUCCUCCUAUAAAUAACUUCUCCGUCUGAGCAAUUCCUUGCACCAAGUCUCCAAGAUCUUCCCAAAAUUUCUCCUUCGAACUCGUAUCCAACCCUACUUGAGGUGCGUACGCACUAAUCACAUUGAUAAGUUCUUGUCCUAUUACAAUCUUGAUUGCCAUGAUUCUAUCUCCUACCCUCUUGACAUCUACAACAUCUUGUACCAAGGUCUUGUCCACGAUGAUGCCAACACCGUUUCUCGUUCUAUUUGUGCCCGAAUACCAAAGUUUAAACCCUGAGUUUUCUAGAUCCUUUGCCUUACUACCAACCCACUUAGUUUCUUGUAGGCACAUAAUAUUUAUCCUUCUCCUCACCAUCCUUACUACCAACCCACUUAGUUUCUUGUAGGCACAUAAUAUUUAUCCUUCUCCUCACCAUAACUUCCACUACUUCCAUAGAUUUUCCCGUUAAGGUUCCUAUAUUCCACGUUCCUAAACGCAUUUUGCUCUCUUGAACUCUACCCUUCUGUCCUAGCUUCUUCAGGGUCUGGGAGAGGUGAAUGUCGGCUAGCCUUACCCCCAUUUUAUGGAGAGCCUGCUCCCAAGUCUCGAACCCGAGACCUACCGCUCAUGGGCGAAGGCACUUGCCAUCGCACCAAGUGCGACCAGAGUGAGUAAACAAUAUUGAACCAAAUACACAUGAAUAAUUGAUUGGAGAUAAAAAUAAAAAUUACCUCUGAUAUCUGGAAUAUGAUAAAUCUUUGGCCAUUCUGGGCCACUGUUCUUGGCGCAUCUUUCUGCCAGACGUUGGUGAUUGGUAUUUAGUCUUUGGUUACUAUUAUCUUUAGUAAAUGGAGUAGACUUGUACUUGAAAGUUGAUGACCAAAUUGACAACUGCCUCCUCUUCAUUUGGCUGCAAUGAAAUCCUAACUAGCUACCCAGCAAAUGGUGUUGUCAUGGAACCUGCAUUUGUGGAAUAUGAACAUCUGGAAUUCACUCAAGGUGAAUUAUGGUAUGGUGAAAUCGUAACAUGAGUUUCUUCAUUUGAGCCUGGAGUUCCUUCUCGAUGCCUAGACACCUCCAUUUCCAGAAAUUGUGUUAGUUGGCACAUCACAAAACUCAUGGUGGCUCUAUGUUGGGAGGUAUGCAAAGCUGCCUCUGAUGCUUUCCAGACCGAAUUCACAUUGAACUCUCCUCGAAGCCCUUGAUCCAAAAUAGUUGUUCAAUUCCCGUUCUGGAACUCAAGAUUCACCUACUCCACUAUGUGGACAAGAUCAUCAUUUUCUAUGAUUGCAGGUUGGCUAGUAAAACCCUAAACAUCAAUUUUUUUUUUCCUUCAACCUUGCUAAUUAUAGUAUCUGCAGACCAAAUAAAGUAAUCAUAGAUCACUCACUGCUCAUAGAAUUCACAUUGAACUCUCCUCGAAGCCUUUGAUCCUAAAUAGUUGUUCAAUUCCCGUUCUGGAACUCAAGAUUCACCCGCUCCACUAUGUGGACAAGAUCAUCAUUUUCUAUGAUUGCAGGUUGGCCAGUAAAACCCUAAACAUCAAUUUUUUUUUCCUUCAACCUUGCUAAUUAUAGUAUCUGCAGACCAAAUAAAGUAAUCAAAGAUCACUCACUGCUCAUAGAUUUUUUUUUUUUUUUAACAUGAUCAAAAUUCUAAGAACAGUAGAACACGAAAUCUGAACAUGCUCGGAAUCAAGAUACCUUGCUGUGCCCAUGAACGAUGCCACCAGAGUCUCAUUGUCACUGGGAAAAACCAUGGACAGACCAAAAUCUGCUAUUUUGCAUCCAAGUUUUAAUUCAGGAGAAUGUUGGCAGUCUUUACAUCUCUAUGCACAAUACUGGAUUGUGAAUAUAUAGUAGCACAAAAAAUAACACUAAGCACCUAUCUAACGCAAUAUCUAAUGCCAUCCAAAGUCUCAUUUCCCAAGUUUAUGUGAGCUCCUAUCUGCUUCUGCAACCAUUAACGUGACACUUCAAUAUUUUGAAACCCUCUGUUGGAGGACAAUGCUAUGUAAAAUAUAGAAUUACAUACCUGAUCAGAGAUAUUCUUUUAGGUUUUCAUUAGGCAUGUACUUGUAUAUAAGUGCCAACUUGUCAGUAUCACACAGUAUCCAAUAAACGAGGCCAAGUUUCUAUGAUGGAUUCUCAUCGGGAGCUCAACCUGCAGCCACAAGGAACUCAUCAAUCUCUAACCAAAGAGACAAGGCAUUUAACUUGCAUCCAAGGAAUUAAAUUCAAACUGUCAAACCUCUGUUUGGAACUCCCUAGCUGAGCUAGCUCCUUGAGAUGACGAUGUAGAACCACAACUUGAGUGCCAUAUUUCAACUAGCCAUGGUAUACAAUCCCAAAUCCUCCUUUCCCGAUUUCCGUUUUAAAGAUUUCGGUGAUUUCUAAAACCUCGUCAUAAGUGAACUAGGACUUCUGAUGCUACAGGAGUUUUGUUACGUGUUUCUCCAUCUGCAGCUCAAGUAGACAAAAAGAUAUGAGUUCAGACUAACUGGUUAGGAAUACCACUACACCAUAGUAGGAGCGCCGGUUCUAAUUGAAUUAAGUAUCAAAAAGAUAUGAGUUCAGACUAACUGGUUAGGAAUACCACAACACCAUUUGCUUUGGUUAAAGAAAAUGCUAACCUAUUCGGUGCUCUCCAUGAAUGAAACUUGCACAGAGCAGUAGGACAAGGAAAUCAAUUGAGAUCAUCUUCUCUCUUUGUCUCACUGCAGCCUAUGAACUACCUGGUAUUUAUUAUGCGUGACAAUGUUCUGACCAAAAAAGCAGAAAAACGUAUAUGACAGUGUGGAUUUGUACCUUAUGCUGCACAACUUUACAUGAAAUCAUUCUAGGUGAAAUCGUAAUAUGAGUUUCUUCAUUUUAGACUGGAGUUCUUUGUUGAUGCGUAGACACCUCUAUUCCAUACAUUGUGUUAGUUGGCACAGCACAAAACCCAUGGUGGCUCUAUGUUGGCAGGUGAUAGUUGUGCAUGCCAUUGCUGUCUCUAAAGCUUUCCAGACUGAAUUCACAUCGAACUCUCCUCGAAUCAUUCGAUACAAAAUAGUUGUUAAAUCCCAUUCUGGAACUCAGGGUUCACCCACUGCACUAUGUGGACAAAAUCAUCACUUUCUAUGAUUGCAGGUUGGCCAGUAAAACAGUAAAAAUCAAUUUUUUUAAUGCAACCCUUGAUAACUAUAGUACCUGCAGACCAAAAAAUGUAAUCACAAAUAAACCACUCACUGUUCAUACAUUUGUGUUUAUAACAUGAUAAAAAAUCUAAUAGCACAUGGAAAUUUGAACAUACUCUUGAUCAAGAUAACCUGCUCUGCCCAUGACCGAUGUCACCACACAAGUCUCAUUAUCACUGGAAAAAAAACCAUGGACAGACCGAAAUCUGCUAUUUUGUGCAUCUAAGUUUCCGUUAUGCUGUGCUUGCUCUCCCCUCCUAAUGCAAUUCUCUUACUGGAAUCCCUUCUUAAGUGAGCUGAAAUACAAAUCCAAUUUUAUCUGUGAUUAAUGUAUUCUAGAUAACUUGACAUGGUUUCAUUCAAGGAUGAAUGCUUUGAACAAAGAAGUUACAUAUUGACAAAACAGAUUACCUUCCAUAAAAUUGGUCUAAUAAAACUCUGUGAGUUGAGAGGACGUGCACACAGUGAGAAGAAGCACAACCUUGUACAAAAGUGCAUCUGCACCAUAACAAGUAAAAACCAUGCGCAACAUGCCUUAGAACAUAUUUGCAAACCAAAUGGAACUAAGACAAGAGAAGAGAACAAAUCAUGAAUUACAGUUUCGGGAAAGAAACCUACACUUGACUGUGGGAAAUGCGAGAAAUCUUGGGCUUGUUUGAAUUUAGAACGCAAUAGUAAAAUUUGGAUUGGCUUCCCUACUGCAGAUAGAUAGUUGAGAUUCCCACAACGGUGAAUAGAUAGAUGGUGGAUUCAUGAAAGGUUCCGUCAUCACUCUGGUAAGAGCCUUUUCAAUCAUCAAGUGACAAUCAUCUAAUUCUGCAGAAAACGAGAGUGGAUGAAGAAUUUUGAACAAAAUAUACAUGGAUAAUUGAUUGGCCCCAAAAAUAAAACUUACCUCAGAUCUGGAAUGUGAUAAAUCUUUGGCCAUUCUGGGCCGCUGGCCAAAAAUAAAUCUUUGGCGCAUCUUUCUGCCAGACGGGGACACCCAUGAAUCACUAGAUUAUGUAAUUUGGUUAGGCGUUGCGUAGCUUCGACCGUAGGCAGAUACAUCAGGUCCUUGCAGUACCAAAUUCCCAACUUAGUAAGAGAUGUGAGGUUGCCCAACCACUCUGGAAGAGCCUCCAGACCAUCGAAAUCCCAAAUUUCCAACUUAGUUAGAGAAGCAGAGUGUUGAAUUUGCUGAGGCAGAGACUUGAGCUUAGGCCACCCCUUCAAUUUUAAUUCUUCAAGUUUCGAUGGGACCUGAAAAUCAGGGAAAGAAUCGAGCUCUUGGCAGAAGGCACCGAUCGACAACACUUCCAAACGAGAUAGAGAGUGC